UACGAAGGGGGCUAGCGUUGCUCGGAAUCACUGGGCGUAAAGGGUGCGUAGGCGGGUCUUUUAAGUCAGGGGUGAAAUCCUGGAGCUCAACUCCAGAACUGCCUUUGAUACUGAAGAUCUUGAGUUCGGGAGAGGUGAGUGGAACUGCGAGUGUAGAGGUGAAAUUCGUAGAUAUUCGCAAGAACACCAGUGGCGAAGGCGGCUCACUGGCCCGAUACUGACGCUGAGGCACGAAAGCGUGGGGAGCAAACAGGGAUUAAGAAACCCUGGUAACGUC
rnacentral:rRNA from 1 species